UACGAAGGGGGCUAGCGUUGCUCGGAAUUACUGGGCGUAAAGGGCGCGUAGGCGGACAGUUUAGUCAGAGGUGAAAGCCCAGGGCUCAACCUUGGAAUUGCCUUUGAUACUGGCUGUCUUGAGUACGGGAGAGGUGAGUGGAACUCCGAGUGUAGAGGUGAAAUUCGUAGAUAUUCGGAAGAACACCAGUGGCGAAGGCGACUCACUGGCCCGUUACUGACGCUGAGGCGCGAAAGCGUGGGGAGCAAACAGGAUUAGAAACCCCAGUAGUCC
rnacentral:rRNA from 1 species